rnacentral:tRNA from 1 species
GCACCCAUAGAUCAGCUGGAUAGAGUACCUGGCUACGAACUAGGGGGUCGCACGUUCGAAUCGUGCUGGGUGCGCCA